AGGUGACUUUGAGCCGGGUACAGGGCACCGCAAGCUGCCGGUCGUUUUGGCGGACAUUGCGGUUAAGGUUAGACCACAAAAUAAGAC